UACGUAGGGUGCGAGCGUUGUCCGGAAUUACUGGGCGUAAAGAGCUCGUAGGCGGUUUGUCGCGUUGUUCGUGAAAACUCACAGCUCAACUGUGGGCGUGCGGGCGAUACGGGCAGACUGGAGUACUGCAGGGGAGACUGGAAUUCCUGGUGUAGCGGUGGAAUGCGCAGAUAUCAGGAGGAACACCGGUGGCGAAGGCGGCAUCCUGGACCGAUACUGACGCUGAGGAGCGAAAGCCAGGGGAGCAAACGGG
rnacentral:rRNA from 1 species